UACGUAGGGGGCUAGCGUUGUCCGGAAUCAUUGGGCGUAAAGAGCGUGUAUGCGGUCCGGUAAGUCCGCUGUGAAAGUCGGGGGCUCAACCCUCGAAUGCCGGUGGAUACUGUCGGGCUAGAGUGCGGAAGAGGCGAGUGGAAUUCCUGGUGUAGCGGUGAAAUGCGCAGAUAUCAGGAGGAACACCUAUUGCGAAGGCAGCUCGCUGGGACGUAACUGACGCUGAGACGCGAAAGCGUGGGGAGCAAACGGG
rnacentral:rRNA from 1 species